UGCUCAGGAUGAACGCUGGCGGUAUGCUUAACACAUGCAAGUCGAACGGGAUGCUUAGGCAUCUAGUGGCGGACGGGUGAGUAACGCGUGAGAAUCUGGCUCCAGGUCGGGGAUAACAGUUGGAAACGACUGCUAAUACCGGAUGUGCCGAGAGGUGAAAGAUUUAUUGCCUGGAGAUGAGCUCGCGUCUGAUUAGCUAGUUGGUGGUGUAAGGGACCACCAAGGCGUCGAUCAGUAGCUGGUCUGAGAGGAUGAUCAGCCACACUGGGACUGAGACACGGCCCAGACUCCUACGGGAGGCAGCAGUGGGGAAUUUUCCGCAAUGGGCGAAAGCCUGACGGAGCAAUACCGCGUGAGGGAGGAAGGCUCUUGGGUCGUAAACCUCUUUUCUCAAGGAAGAAGAAAGUGACGGUACUUGAGGAAUAAGCAUCGGCUAACUCCGUGCCAGCAGCCGCGGUAAUACGGAGGAUGCAAGCGUUAUCCGGAAUGAUUGGGCGUAAAGGGUCUGCAGGUGGAACUGAAAGUCUGCUGUUAAAGAGUUUGGCUUAACCAAAUAAAAGCGGUGGAAACUACAGAACUAGAGUGCGGUAGGGGCAAAAGGAAUUCCUGGUGUAGCGGUGAAAUGCGUAGAUAUCAGGAAGAACACCGGUGGCGAAAGCGUUUUGCUAGACCGUAACUGACACUGAGGGACGAAAGCUAGGGGAGCGAAUGGGAUUAGAUACCCCAGUAGUCCUAGCCGUAAACGAUGGAUACUAGGCGUGGCUUGUAUCGACCGCGGUGG
rnacentral:rRNA from 1 species